AUUGAACGCUGGCGGCAGGCCUAACACAUGCAAGUCGAGCGGGGUUUUCGGACCUAGCGGCGGACGGGUGAGUAAUGCGUAGGAAGCUACCCGACAGAGGGGGAUACCAGUUGGAAACGACUGUUAAUACCGCAUAAUGUCUACGGACCAAAGUGUGGGACCUUCGGGCCACAUGCUGUCGGAUGCGCCUACGUGGGAUUAGCUAGUUGGUGAGGUAAUGGCUCACCAAGGCGACGAUCCCUAGCUGGUUUGAGAGGAUGAUCAGCCACACUGGAACUGAGACACGGUCCAGACUCCUACGGGAGGCAGCAGUGGGGAAUAUUGGACAAUGGGCGCAAGCCUGAUCCAGCCAUGCCGCGUGUGUG
rnacentral:rRNA from 1 species